GUGUCAGCAGCCGCGGUAAUACGUAGGGGGCAAGCGUUGUCCGGAUUUACUGGGCGUAAAGAGCGCGCAGGCGGUCCCGUAAGUUGGCUGUGAAAUCUCCGGGCUCAACUCGGAGGGGUCAGUCGAAACUGCGGGGCUACGAGGGCGGUAGGGGGAGAUGGAAUUCCCGGUGUAGUGGUGAAAUGCGUAGAUAUCGGGAGGAACACCGAUGGCGAAAGCGAUCUCCUGGGCCGUACCUGACGCUGAGGCGCGAAAGCGUGGGGAGCGAACUGAAUUAGAUACUCAGGUAGUCCACGCCCUAAACGAUGGACACUAGGUGUGGGGGGUAUCGACCCCUCCCGUGCCGCAGCCAACGCAAUAAGUGUCCCGCCUGGGGAGUACGGCCGCAAGGCUAAA
rnacentral:rRNA from 1 species